AGGGGUGUAGCUCAGUGGUAUGGUGUAUGCUUCACAUGCAUGAAGUCCUGGUUUCAAUUCCCAGCAUCAUUG
rnacentral:tRNA from 1 species